GCUGACUGUGGGAAGUCAGGCUGGGCAGCUGGGAAACCAGCCCAUAAACACGCCCUCACUUCAUCCCAACAUACACAAAGGCACAUGCUCACUGAAGCCACAUACAAACAUCUAUGGCAACUCUAACUGGGGCCUAGUGUCUACCAGUAAAUGAAAUGCAGUUGCUGCUUUCAGGUUUGCAAUCUAGUUUAGAGUCCAGUUGGGAAGACAAAACAUACCCAAGACAUAAUAUAAGAACCCAACAGAGCAACUUCUAUCAUUUAUUCAUCUAAAAAGUUAUUUACUUAGUAUCUCCUACACUUCAGGCACUAUACUAGAUGCUGGAAAUAUAAAGAUAAGUUGGGCAUGGUCCCUAGCUCCUACCUGCAAGUGGAAAGUGAUAUGAUAUGGGAUAUACAUAACUGAUAAGGGAACAGAGAUGAGCCAGAUGGGUUUAGGUACAUAGCAGUGACACACAUUCUGAAGAAGGGAACAAAUACGGAUUGGUAGAGAGGAUUGGUAGAGGGUAUUCUAGAAGGGGGAAACAGCAGGUACAAAGAUAGAAGUGGAAAUGAACAAGUCUCCUGUUGAAGACAAUACGGAAUUAAAUUUUUUAAAAACUACUUAAGUGGAUAAACUUCAAGGAAACUAUGUGAAUGAAAAAAGCCUACCUCAAAAGGAUAUAUACUGCAUGAUUCCAUUUAUAUGACAUUCAUAAAAUAACAGCUGCAGAGAUGGAGAACAGAUCAGUGGUUGCCAGGGGUUAGGGAUUGGGGGCUGGGGUGAAUGUGGCCAUGAAGGGGUAACACAAAGGAGUCUUGUGGUGAUAGUAUGGUUCUGCAUCUCGGUGGCGGUAGUGGUGCUUAUGCAAGGCUACACGUGGUAAAAUCACACAUAGCUACACACACACACACAAAUACUGAAUUCAUGUAUAACUGGUGAAAUCUGAAUAAGCUCUAUGCAUUGUAACAAUGUCAAUUUCUUGGUUUUGUUAUUGUACUAUAAUUGUGUAAGAUGUUAACACUGGGAGAAGGGUGCACUGGUCUUCCCUGUACAUUUCUUCUUAACCUCCUAUGAAUCUACAAUUAUUUCAAAAUAAAACAAACAAA